GUUGAAGAGCGGCGGCUGCUGCUGCUGCUGCUGCUGAGGAGAAGUUGGCUACGGUGGGGUGAGGGAGGGAAGAGGAAAAAAGGAAAGCGGUAGCCAGCGAGCAGACCGACAGAGAGUAGGUUUGUUUAAAAACUGCUUACAACAGCUAUGACACCUGCUCUUCGAGAGAAAGCAAUGAAAGGACAUGGUAUCUAUUUAUCCCCAUCCUUGUCUUCAAGAGCUAUGGAAUCCAAUGAGACAUUGGGCAUGGCAAGUACCAGAGUAGUCAAGGAGAAAAUGAAGGAUGGCUCUGUCACAAAGAUCACUUGCUCAGUUCGGGGGCUUCCCACCUCUCAGUCCAAACAUACCAAUGAUCACUUUAAUUUAAAGUGCUUUGACUCUCACUCUUCUAAACAUUACCCCUUAUUAAUGAGUGCCAAUUCUGCUCUCAGUGUAAAUAAUAAAAAUUGUAUGCUCAAAACCUCAGAAGAGCACAGUUGCUCCAAGAUGAGAAAUCCUUUGUGUAACAGCACUAAUACACACUUCAGUCAAAUUAUUAAUUCAGAAUCUGGGGAGCAGAUCAGAGGAGAAACUUUAUCAGGGACAACAACUCAGAAUUUACCAGAAAUUGGAAAACUAUUGGAUUCAUGUUUAAUUGAACCCAGCAAUACAGAAGAAAGACGGCUUCCUAACUCUAAAUGGUACCGAAAGAAUGGCUUUUUUGGCAAGGCUUUAUUUGUAAAUACUGAGACAAAAAAAGAAGACUCAUUCCAUCAAGUGCAUCAUGAUGCUUCGGAAGGAACAACGAACUGCAAUCCCAGCAGUAAAGAACAGGCAUUGAAUUUCUCCUUACUUCAGUGUGUAAACAAGCAACAGGUUUUACUCAGCCAGGCCAAAAGAACUCAGAAACGUUUGCAAAUACUAUUGGCAAAGCAUGUUGUCAAACACUGUGACCAGCAGAUGAAAUGUUUUGUGAGACAUCAACUACAGAGAAUGAAAGCAUUUCAUGAUCCAGCCAGGAUUUUGGGUGGCAGUUUUCAUAGAUGCACUGGAAUUAAAACUGAAAGCAACAAUUUAGAAACUAAUGUGGGUAAAGAUGUCCAGCACGAUUUUGAUGUUUUACCUGGUAAAAUCAGUAAGUUUGCUUGUUCUACAGCAGGACUACUGUCUCAGAUGGAAGAGAGCUUAGAUUCUGAGGCCACUUGCAGCAGCUCAAGUGAAGAUGAUGAUGAGCAGAUUUCCAGAAAUGUUGUGGCAGUUAAAAAUAGAUCUGACUGGAAAUGGCUGGUAGACAGAGCUAAAGUUGGGUGCCGCUGGACAUGGCUUCAAGCUCAGAUCUCAGAGCUAGAAUACAAGAUCCAGCAACUCACUGAUCUUCACAGGCAGAUCCGUGCCACCAAGGGAAUGGUGAUCUUAGAAGAAUUUCCAGUUCCAAAGGAUGUCUUGAAAAAGCAAACACAAUUGACAGACCAGGAGGCUUUAUUAAACACCACAGGGCACUCUCAAGCUCCCUUUGAGAGGCAGGAUGUUUGGCUGGAACCUGAUUUUGAAAUGUCACCGAGCAGUCCAACUCUGCUUCUCCGUAACAUAGAAAAACAGAGUGCCCAACUGAGUGAAAUUAUCAGCAGUCUGAUUGCUCCCCUAAAUCUGUCUCCUACAUCAUCUCCUCUCUCUUCAAAGUCCUCUAAACAGAAAGAGUUGGUCAAUGGCAUAUCUUUAAGAGAUUCAGAGAACAGUGAAGGCGUUUCAACUUCCAGUAGUUGGUUGGUUGACCAACAACACCUGAAGAGAAGAAGGAAAGACAAGACAAGGCUGAGAACAUCAUCGGUUGCGAUUAGCACAUCUGCUCGUACCAGACCACUUCAGAGUUUCCAGAGGAGAAAACUGUAUAAAACAAGCAGUAUGCUAAGCUUGAACCAACAGGCUAUGCCAGUGAGAAAUGCCCUAUUUAACAGAGCAGAGGUAGUUCCAGGCUCCUCUUGGAGUAGUUAUGAGCUUGGCCCCAAGCCCAGGACACACAACGAACUCAUGUUAGAACUUGAUUCCUCAUUCCAUCCUGUCUUAUCAUUCCCUUCAGAUACUCCUCUUCAUGUGUAUUUCAAAACAUUGCUCAAAAAGUACGAGAUCAAAGGUGAUCCUUUUGAAACUUCUGCCCUUGGUUUAGAGCUUAAGGUGUCUCCAUCAAAUGAAUACAAUUGGCAUAAAACUUCUCUUCAACAAUGGAAUUGUGGAUACGAAUCUAGUUCCAAAUAUCAGGCUAUGCCAGAAAUAUCAGAGCAGCUACAAGAGGGAAGAAAAAAGAGACAUUUCAGUGAGACAGCAGUUGGAGAAAGUAACAAUAGAUUUGAAGCAUUUUCCUUCCAGCAUGAAGAGGAGGAAUCCCAUAAUCAUUUUGCAGGAUCUGCUAAUGAUGACAUGAUUUCUAGAUCAAGUCACAGUUCCUCAUCACAGCUCAAUUCAAGACGGAGACUGAGAAGUGAGAGCUCUUAUGACAUAGAUAACAUUGUUAUUCCUAUGUCACUGGUUGCACCAUCUAAGCUGGAGAAACUGCAGUAUAAAGAAAUUCUUACUCCCAGCUGGAGACUUGUUAGCCUCAAGCCUUUGGAAGGUCUGCACAAAGAUGAAGAAACGGUAGAAGAUCUGUCAGAUGAUGUCUAUGCUGUACGCCAUGCAAAAUAUGAAGAGAAAGAGAGAGCACGGUGGUCACUGUGGGAACAAUGCCGAUGGCCCAGAAGGAACAGAUCAUAUAGCAGAAGUUCUGAGGGACAAGAUCCAGCACUAAAACAAAAACAAGGCAACUCUGAUUUCACGCUCAGUUUUUCCAAAAACACCACUGAUGUAACUUCAGAAAUAUACAGAAAUCUAUGCUUGAGGGCAUUACAGUCUUCAGAAGAAAACCAAGAAGUACAGUCUCUUCUGUGGGAACAUCGCAUUUUUCCACUAAAAGAGAAAGAAGCAGAAGCUUUAAUUUGCCAUGAUCAGGUAACAGCUCAGCAAGAAAAUUCAAAUAUGGCCAUCCACAGUGCCUUUGACUGUACUUCAUAUACUGCUUUCAGUUUGCCAAACAAUAACCAGCCACAAAGGAAAAGCUCUGUUGAUGAACUGGAAGAUUGCAACCAAGCCUGUUUGGGAAUUGACAGCACAAGAAAACAGAGGUGACAGUAAAGAAUGUAGUUCAUUUAGAGAGCUGACCAGGGUGAAGGAAUGUGUAAGGCAGGCUAAGAACUCAAGGGCAGUGUUUUUAUCUGAGCCACAAGAAUGCUUUCAAGCUGGAAGUUUUAAUAUUCCCUUGGUCAAGAAGGGAUACUCUUAAACUGUAACCACCAGGUGCUGCCACAACUUGAAAAACUGAACGGAUGUCUAUUCAAAGUGUAUGUAUGGUUGCAGUGCAUAAUUCCCCCCCCCCACUUGAAAAUGCAAUAGUUUUAACUGAAUGCACAGAAAAGCUACCUGAUAAAGCUGUUGCGCGUGUAUGUGGCUGACACAAGCAUACUGUCCCUUUUUAAGGAAAGGUCUUUGCCAAUUCAACCAUUUGUAAAUUUGAUGACAUAAUGUAUGGUGUAGAAGAGAGAGCCCAAAAGCUUUACAUGAAGGUAAAGAAAAAUCAAUUUAAAUAAUUGAUUUUCUGUAUUUCAUAAUAGAUCUGUUAUUUCUGAGUACAAGGAAUGAAAGGGAGUAAGAAAUCUGAACACUACAGUAGUGGAACAUUUGCCAUUUUUUACCAUGACACAUUUGAACUCCUCUUCCUAACUUUAUACAGACUUGAAUUCUGUACUUCGUUAGAGUUGAGUAGAUUCAGUAUUCUUGCAAUAAUCAAUUAAAGUUUUAUUAAACUUUAAGACUGCAGGUGAGAUGGCAGUGUUUAGUUAUAAAGGAAAAUAGUUAUUUUCAUAUUCAAGUGACAAAAUAAGAGUGUUGCAGAAUGUAAUCUGCAUCCUCCAGCUGAUGGUAUACACAAAAUAUGAUAAAGGCUUGCCACCCACAUUCAGUGAAGCCAAUUCAAUAUGGCGCUGCACUUCAAUAUGGCGCUGCACUUCUAUGGAAGAGGGUAGUGCUUCUGUGAGGAACAGUUGAAGGCAUCACUGUUAAACACACUUCAGUGUUGUGUCCAGAACUUAAGCUACAUUAGGUAGAUGGCCCACUUUUAGAUGGGUGCUAUCUAGACUAGUUAGUCAUGACUAAAUCCCAUUGAAACUAACUUAGUCUGGAUGCUGCCCUGUGUCUUUUUUCUCCCUCCCUCAUUUUUCUUCUUUCCAAAAUGGACUGGAAGUACACUGGAUAUUGUAAAAAUGUUCAGUUGCAUUUCAACACUACAGCCUAUGUUAGAUUGUAGUUCACUGCAAAUUUUUGGUUUUAACUUUUUAAAACAUUUUUGUCCAGAGAAUUAAAUUACAUUUUAAUCUUGCUGAUACAGCAGUUUGCAGUGCAAGGUUUUAAAAUUAAAAGUUAUUUCUGUACACUACAGUGUGAUGUUGAUGGAUUGAGAUGCCUGACAGAGUUGAACCAUGUAAAAACAGUGCACCUUUAGGAGCUCAGACUUUGGAUAUGAAUACCAAAAAUCAUGAUUAUGGUAGGAUUGUUGGCAUGGCACCAGAAGGUUACGUAAAGUAUAAUGGACUAUGGGAGGGAUAAUCUUACCCUCUGGUCUCUUCUCCUGUUCUUCCAGGGCCUAGGCACUUGUAGCCAUGUGAGAGCAACUGUAGCUCCAUGACUAAAAAGUGGCAGCUCUUUCCUGUGUUGCUCUUCAAAACGAUUUAAGCAAUUUGGUUGUUGCAAGAGAGAGAUCCCUUUAUACAUGUCAGACUGAUGGAAUGAAUAUCUUUGGAUCCUAUGUAUCCUGCUUCCACAAACUUGGACCGGUAUUUCAACUAGCCAACGUCAGAUUUGAAAUUUCCUGGCUUUAGCAUCUGUCUCCCAACUCUUUUCUAAUGUUUAAAUUGCAACACCAUCAUAAAGUUAGUGCACUCAGGACCCGGCCAGAAUGCAUGAGGCUCAAAAUUGUGUAUGUGUGUAAAUAAAGGACAUUUGGUUCACUCUA